rnacentral:rRNA from 1 species
GAUGAACGCUAGCUGCAGGCUUAACACAUGCAAGUCGAGGGGAAACGGCAUCGAAAGCUUGCUUUUGAUGGGCGUCGACCGGUGCACGGGUGAGUAACGCGUAUCCAACCUGCCCAUCACUUGGGAAUAACCUUGCGAAAGUAAGACUAAUGCCCAAUGACAUCCCACGAAGGCAUCCGAAUGGGAUUAAAGAUUUAUCGGUGAUGGAUGGGGAUGCGUCUGAUUAGCUUGUUGGCGGGGUGACGGCCCACCAAGGCAACGAUCAGUAGGGGUUCUGAGAGGAAGGUCCCCCACAUUGGAACUGAGACACGGUCCAAACUCCUACGGGAGGCAGCAGUGAGGAAUAUUGGUCAAUGGGCGAGAGCCUGAACCAGCCAAGUAGCGUGCAGGAUGACGGCCCUAUGGGUUGUAAACUGCUUUUAUAAGGGAAUAAAGUGGGUCACGUGUGACUUUUUGCAUGUACCUUAUGAAUAAGGACCGGCUAAUUCCGUG